ACUUAAAUAGUUUAAAUAAAAAAUUUUAAUUUGUGGAAUUAAAGAUAUAAUUAAUUAUUUUAAGUU
rnacentral:tRNA from 1 species